CAGCCACCUCUGGGUUCAAGCCACCAGGAAGGCUCUUGGAUAAGAAUUGACUUUCCCCCUUCCCUCUCUGCAGGAGCAUGUCCCAGAAACAAAACAGGGCUACUGUACCGAGAGCCUCAGUUUCCCAGUGGCUAUUGGCUGGAGGCUGCCCUGAGUUCCUUGCCAGCUAUCCCUGAGAGCGUACCUUGUACCAAGCCCAGCUGGGGCGAGCUUGCCGUGUGUGAGCCAAGAGAAGACAUCUCAGAACGAAACCUACCUGACCAGCACCUCGAUCCGUGACUUUUCAGUCUCCGGAAUCACGUGCGAGAAAAGCGUGUUGUUUAAGGCCCCCUGUCUGUGGUAUUUUGUUAUGGCAGCCUGAGGUGAUGAACACACCGGAUGAGGUUCAUCUAGGUGUUAGAACUCUCGAUCUGAGGCAGGAAUAGCCGUUAGAGUUCUUCGCCCUCCUAUUAGGGAAGGACUUUUCCUUGGUGGAAACAAGUGCUGUAUCUAAUUGACCACUGAUGUUUAUUUACCAAGGCUGGCAGGACGAAGGGGUGGG